AGGACGAACGCUGGCGGCGUGCUUAACACAUGCAAGUCGAACGGAAAGGCCCGCUUGCGGGUACUCGAGUGGCGAACGGGUGAGUAACACGUGGGCAACCUGCCCUCAGCUUCGGGAUAACAUUUGGAAACAGGUGCUAAUACCGGAUAAUAACCUUUCAUCGCAUGGUGUGGGGUUCAAAGUUUUUCGGCUGGGGAUGGGCCCGCGGCCUAUCAGCUUGUUGGUGGGGUAAUGGCCUACCAAGGCGACGACGGGUAGCCGGCCUGAGAGGGCGACCGGCCACACUGGGACUGAGACACGGCCCAGACUCCUACGGGAGGCAGCAGUGGGAAUAUUGCGCAAUGGGCGGAAGCCUGACGCAGCGACGCCGCGUGAGGGAUGACGGCCUUCGGGUUGUAAACCUCUUUCAGCUCUGACGAAGCGCAAGUGACGGUAGGAGCAGAAGAAGCACCGGCCAACUACGUGCCAGCAGCCGC
rnacentral:rRNA from 1 species